UUUAGCUUCAAAUAGGAUUUGCCUCCUUUGAAAAUCACUGGUGAAGCAGUCCCAGGGCCUGAUUGGUUCAGCACCAAGUGAAGUCAUAGUCACUAUGGUGACUCACAAUUGUCCUCAGAACCUAGUGCCAACAGUCUGCAAGAUUCAAACACUGGCCACCAUGCCUGGCUUCCUUCUGGUUCAAGCCUGAAUAAGGUCCCUCUUCUGUGCUGUCUUCCUGAAGCCAUCUGUGGAGUCAAGCAGUCAUGGCUCAGGGACACUCUGAAGUAGGUCCCAGCACAUCUGCGUGGAGCAUCAGGAGGAAGGUGGAUGAAUACUUAAGACCCAGCCUGGCCUCUAAAUCGGUGCUGAGCGUUUUACUCAGUAGACAGCUUGGGAAUCAUAGAAACGAUGUGGAUCUGACAGAGUGGCUGUGGACACUGAAGCAAGCCAUACCAGGGUGGACCUGGCCUUUGCCGACACGCCACACAAUCAACCCACCUCUGCCCCCUGGGGAGGAUAGAAAAUCCAAGAAAAUGGUGUGGAUCAAUAAAUCCUUCCCCUGAUGCAACCAUUACAAGUGGAAGCUGUGUUCUCACUGCUUUUG
rnacentral:lncRNA from 1 species